AACCUGUCACUGUGACAGAAAGGUCAACAGCAUCUGUGUUCAAGAAGUUACUCCUGCACAAUAAACCAUACAGUACAGACUUAUUGCAGCACUCCUGAAGGAGGAAGCUGACCCUAUGGAUGACAGAUUCUCAAGCCCUAGGGUCACAUUCUCAAAGGUUUGACACCAGAAGAGCAUCAGCUGAACGCUAUGAGUAGACUUCACAGCUACGAUAGAGAGGCAGGGUAAAAGUGGUUUGUGGGUGCUGCAAGAGAAUGGAAAUGAGCUGAAGGUAUGAAAACAUUUUUCACUGACCAUUCCUAAAAGAUGAGUGUGGGCUGAGCUCCCAAGCCAUUGAGGUGUCGGGCUCAGACCUGGGCCUUCUGCAGGGAGGUCUGAACAAACA
rnacentral:lncRNA from 1 species